rnacentral:lncRNA from 1 species
GAAAGAACCGAAACCCUAGGUGGGAAAAUUGAAGAAAAAGUGAGGGAUUUCAAGGGAUUAAGCUAAUAAAGGUAAGAUUUUGUGAUUUUAUCUUGUGAUUUACACUACCCAUGCUUUCUUUUUCAUUUUCCAUGCUUAGAACUCAAGUUUGCAUGAUGAACCCAUGCUGGCCGAAUUUGAGAGGAGAGGUUUUGAGCAUUGAUUUUGCUAGAUUUCAAGCUAAUUAAGUGUUUUUGGUUGUUUGGUAAUGGAAAGUAUGAAAAUCUAGCAAGGAAUCACUUUGUUCUUCACAAACCCACAAGAGGCCGAAUUUUCUAGGGAGGAUAUUGAGGCUGAAAUUGAUGUAUUUCAUGAUAUUUUGGUGGCAUUUAAUGAGUGGUGAGGCUAGAAAUUUAAUGGGAAAUUUUGGCAUGAAAAUAUGAAGUUUUACCUAAUGUAUAGAGAUGUGCGAUUUAUGGUUCGGACUGAUAAAAUGAAUCGCAUUCACAGUUAUUGAGGUAUUUUAAGUAUAAUUGGAGUGUAGAGAGUGAAAGAAAUCGAUUUCGAGUUAAAUUGAAGGUUUUAGCCAAUCACACUGAGAAUAGUGCGAAUUAGGUCGAAUACCGUAUUUAAACGGUUAUUCGGACAUUUUGCAUCACAUUUCGUGCAUUCAUAUAGAUUUAUAGAGCCUGAAAUAGUUUAUGAUAAAUUGACACAAUUUAUUGAAAUUCGUGUCACGUAUGAUGUAUAGGUGGUGAGCCCUCUAACAAAGGUAAAGAGAUUGUGCCCAAAGAUCGAGAAUAGGAGUAUAUCGAACUCCUAGUAUUAUAAGUAACCUUACUAUCGCCUUAAUUAUCUAAAGUAUGUUUUAUCCGAUUUUGUGAAUUUUAUGGAAAAUGAAUUAAAUGAUUAAUUUUUCAGUUUUAUAAACAAAAUGUGAUUUAGUGAAAUGAUUUCAUAAAAUUGUUUUAAAAUUGAAUAAUGACUUUUCAAAUGGAGUAAUUGGAGACCAUUUGAUGUAUUCUGAAUUUAUGGUUCUAAUUGAUUGGCUUAUGACAAUAUUGGCAUGAAAAAUUAUUUACCGGUAACUCUAUAAAUAUUAUUUUAUAAAAAAAUAAAAUAUUUUAUUGAAUAUUUUCAUUAUAUUCACAUAGUUAUAAUUUCACUUGAAAUGAAUGUUUUAGACAUCUAAACUUAUUUUUGAUUAUGAAUUAUGUGUUUUAUACUCGCAUACUACAUUUUUAGCUGGUUUCAGAAUUUUUGGGAAAAAUGACCAAAAUACCCCUGUGUAGUUGAAAUUUCUCUUUGAUUGUUUUUGAACUGAAAUUUGUUCAUAUCACUUUAAAACAUGAUUUUAGUAACUAAUACUCAUAGGGGAAGCGAGAAAACUAAUGUUAAGCCUUGUGAGGUUUCGAUUAGCAUUCCAAGUAAUGAAUGUCUAUCGGGACAUUGCCGCGGUUGUCACGGCCUUGAUGGGAGUUUUGGGUCGUGGCAAUUCAGUUGGUAUCAGAGCUUUUGGUUUUAAAGAUUUGAGCUUUUGGUUUUAAAGUUGUUUUAAAAUUUACAGUGUCAGUGUGGCCCUGAGUUAAGUUAAGUUAGGUUUGAUAGAAUAGAAUACGUGCAUCUACACAUAGAAUUUGGAGUUGUUUAGACUCGUUCUGUUUCUUCUUAUAGAUCUUAUGGGAGCAUAAGUCAUAGACAGGGAGCUAUAUGAACUCCUGUUCCCAGUAAUCCACUUUUUUGUUAAUGUCAUGCAAAGGUCAUAAGCAGGGCCGUUGUCCGAGUUUAAGAUGCCACCCGUGACACGAGCCAGUAUUAGAGAGAUCUUAAAACGAAUGCUCCUAGUGAAAGAUUAAUGAAAUGAUAUAUCCCUCCGAUUAAGGAUGGAGAAAUUUGGAGUUGGACUAAUAGGCCGUGAUAAUUUAUUUAUUUGGUGGAGUUAUAAUUGAACUCAUGGUUGUCAAUUGGAAAAAGAUUUGGGUACUAUGGAUUGUAUUGGGGUUAAUAUAAAAGAUCACGUGUGAUAAUGGUAAUAAGGGGCGCACUUUGAUUAGAAUGAAUAGUGAUGGUUGUAAUUCACUUGGAGUGUAUAAAUUAAGCCGUGAGGUAAGAGUAAACCCAUACUUAUGUGCAUGAAGAUAAGAAUAUGUGUUGAAUUGGUAUAGCAGCAUAGAGGGAACUGAUGUUGAUUUCAAUUAAGCGAUUAUGAGAUUUCAAGAAUUAAUUGGACCUAUUAUAGUUUAUGGAUUUAAGCACGUGAAUUAACUUGAGAGUGAGUAUCAAUGAUUACUAUAAUUGAUGUGUGGUCAUGAAGUAAGAAAUUAGUAAACAAAUCUGCUAUAAGGAUGAGCUUGAACUUUGCUAUGCAAUGAAAAAGGGGGAGCCAAGAGAUUAAAGAACUAAAUGUGAAAUUGGCCUCUUGAGGUUAAAUGACUUGGAAAUGUCGAAUCUAGUCUAAGUUCCAUAUGAAGUUCUAUAAUUGAGAUUGAUAUACGAAUUACUUGAAAGAUCAAUUUAAAAGUUUAUUUGGUUCAAAGUGUGCCCUAUGAUACGAAUGAUCUGUCUUGAAGGUGAUUUCCCCAAAGUAAGGAAUUUAGAAAAUGUUGAUAUUUGGAUAUACUCUAAGAAAGAGAACUUCUGCAUCCUAAGUUUAGAACAACUUUGAUCUUAUGAUCGCAAAGGCAAGGUGUAAUAAUUAAGUACAUUAUUCACUUAAUAAAUGUGAUUGGUUAUUGAUGAAUAAAGUCAAGAUCUUAACAUUUAGUGGUAUACAAUUUGAUAAUUAUGUAUUCAAGAGUUAUUUGGAGACAAUUCCUUCAUCAAAUUGGCACUAAAUGCUAUGGUAAAGGCAUAUCAAUGUUAAUAUGGAAAUGUAUCCAGGAAUGAUCUUAACAUACAACCAAAGGAGAAUUAAACAUAUUGAAAUUAAUGUUCUAAUAGUGUGCAUAUGAUAGAAAGCUAGUUUGUAAGUUGUAGUUUUCAUGAUCAUGAAAUAUAUAAAGAUUAUCAAUAUAUGGACAUACACUUGGAGUUGUAAUUUAUAAGUUUGGAGUAUUUAAGAUAUGAUUAAAUGGAAUUAGCAUUAGACAAGGUAUGUAAAUCUUUAAAUUGAUUUCUGUGGAGUGUGCAUGAUAGUAGAAUGGAGGAACAUAGUGCCGUGAUAUUAUAUGGUGAAGUUACUAUACAAUAUGGAAAGAGUAUUCUAAAGUGGGAUUUAUUGACUGAUGAUAAGUGAUAUGCAAUCUGAGAUACAUGUAGCUAUGAAUAAAUUUGGAGAUUUUUGCUUAAGCAAACUCGUACUAAAUGUUAUGGUAAAGAUAUAUGACUGUUAGUGGCAAAAUAAAUACGUUAGUUCAAUGUUCUGAUCGCACACUUAUGAUAAAAAGUUAGUCCACUAAUUGUGGUAUAGACUCAGAGGGAAGCCACACGAUUGUGAAUAAUUGAGGUAGUAGCUUUAAAGGUGGAAGAGUUGCUAGGAUAAAGUGAAUUCAAAUAGUUGCAGUGCUAGAGUAUUGACUAUCAAACGCUGUCACGUUAAGAACCCCUAAUGUCUAGAAAGCAAGAGCAAACUGUGAGCGGCAUAAAGAUGAAACUCACGAGUUGAAAUAUGGUUAUUGGUUUUGAUGCUAAGCUUUGUUGUUUAGAGUCUUAAGUGCAUUGGGGAGGUAUUAAGAUAAAGAUGAUGAGUGAAAUUGCAGAGUUUCUUUAUUGCCUUAUAUAUGGGCAUGUAAGAGAAAGAAAAGUUAGAGAGUUUUUGAGAUGGCUACAUAAAAAAAAAAAAAUAAUUAACAUGUGGAGAAUUAAGAUGAAUAAUAUGUUGACUAAAGUCAAAUCUUAAGAAAUAAAGUAAAUCUUGUAAAAGAUUAAAGAGGAAGUGAGGGACAAGUUAGAUAAAUAUAUGAGAUGUUGAUAAGAGAUGUCAAUACCAAGUGAUGAGAGUGUGAAUGGAGAUUUCAAGAAUGAUAUAGCAAAUGAGUUCAUAUAGAAUAUUGUUACGAGAAUUAACUAAUCUUGUCUUGACCUUGUUGGAAGGAAAGGAUUAGUGACAACACAAGUAAAGUACGGGGUAUGCUAGAAACCCUUAGAGAUAAGUUGAAGCAUGAGUAGUUGGGCAUGCCUUUAUGGAAAUGAUAUACUUGGAGUAUGAAAGAGUAAAUAAGUGAUUAAGUGUUUCAAGGAUGUUUAAAUACUUUUGAGAAAGAAUUAUAAAUUAUACGGAAUGAGUAUAAGAUGCGUGACUUUGAAACUUGCCAAGGAACCAAAUGGCUAAGUCACGAGUUAAGUGAUCACUUGCUGUGAGAUAUAAGUUAAGAUAGAUAUCCUCGAGGAAAUACGCAAGAGAAGUUCUGCCAUGGAUCUCGUGAAAGCAAGCAUUAAGUUAUGUGGUUAUAAAAAGGAAGCUGUAAGCUGAGAGUGAUAUUAGUAUUAAUAUUGAAAAAUACUUGUGGAGAAUCUAAUUUAAAGUUUUGCAAUUUUAAGUGCAAUUUAUAAAUUGGUUAAGGAAGAAUGAUGUUAUAUUCAUAUGAAAGAGUGGAACAAAGGAUGAUAGAAGUUGACCUUGAUAAUGAAGUAUGAUAAUGAAACUUUUCUAAUAUAUUAUGGAAAUUAGAAUUCGAAAAUGCUUAAGGCAUACAUGAUUCAAAUGAGUCUGAGUCUUAAGUGACAAAUCAAUAUCGAAAUGCAAGAAAGAUACAAGGUAAUGUAGAUGUAUGAAGGAUAAUCGAGGAAAAAGGAUGACUCCUAGGAAUUGUGGUAUUGCAUAAGAUGCAAUGAUCAAGUUAAGAUAAAUCUUUGAGGCAUCAAUGGGAUUAUAAAGCAUACAUGCAUAAUAGAUUAUAAGUCAAAGGAGAUGACAUUAUGAUGCAAUGAUAUAUAGUACAAGGAAACUUAAGCAUAUAAUUGGAAAUGAUAAGAAGAGAGUAUAAGUAUGUAAAUGAUGUGGAACUAUGCACAGGCAUGAUGAGAAUUUGUAUGAAUUAUGAAGAUUAUUCUAUUGAAUCUUGAUUAUGGAUGGGAAUGAAUACAAAGAAAUUAGUCUAAAGGCAUUUGAAAAUCGAGACCUGUAUACAUAAUGAGGAAUAUGGACACUUGGAUGUGCGUGUAUACGUAUAUGUGGAGUUAGUGAUGUACCCAACUAAAAUGAAGAAUGGUUUUAGUGGUUCGAGAUUUACUUAAUAAGUACUUGAUCAUAAAAGUAUAGAGUUUCUUUUUAAGAAUAUGGUUACUAAUGGUUAUCAAAUUUGAAUUAUCUGUGAUGUUAAAUAUAUAUCUAUGGAUAAAUAAAAGGUGUUUGAUCCUUAUGUAUUAUGAAAUGCUUGAAUGUUGGAAGGUUUGAUAAAAGAUCAAGGUAGAGAAAUUGUGGAUAGUUAAGUAAACAUGCAUAAUUGAUGAUUUAAGGAUGAUUUGACUUAGAUGAAGCCCAUACAUAUUUUAGAUCAAAAGGAUUGAGUGUUGAGAAAUAAAAAUAUCCUAAUGGUUAAAGGCGUUCCCUUCGGGGGAAGUAAAAGGUCUCGGGUUCGAAGCUUGGCAAGAAGGUCCUGCAAGGCGUGUCCUGCCACCCUUAGGCGUGGCGAAUACGAGUAAGUCAAGUGAUGGGGACCUGAAUAUAAAAAUACCUUGGAGUGGACUCUCGAGAGGGAUGCCACAAAAUACUCGAAUGGAAGAGAUGAUGUGGGAAGUCGAGCACCAGAUGAGAGACCGAUAUCCACGUCUUUUCUUGGAAUCCGGUAAGUAAAAUUUUGAGGUCAAAAUUUUAUUUUAAGGGGGCUAGUGCUGUCAAGCCCCACCUUAUAAAGUACUUGCCAUGUCCUUUAUGUGAUUGACAAUAUGCUUGCAUACUUGGAAAGCCCCGAAAAAUCAUCAAAAGUCAAUAUUUUACCAAAUGGUACUAUUAAGUUGAAUUAAGCCUUAAACUAGUCUAAAUAGAGAUCUUAAGAUGAAAUUGAGAAUUUUAGAAUCCCAGAAUGACUUAAAAUGAUGAUUUGGAGUUCGAGGCCUAAAUUGGAGUCAAUUUGGAAUUUUCAUGUUCUAGGGGUAAAAUUGUAAUUUUGUCACCGGAGGACAAAAUGGGAAUUUUUAGAAAAUAUUUUGAUCACAUUUGACUCAUUGGAGUAUGAUUUGAGUUUGAGAGGUGAAAAAUUUAAAUUUUGACAUUUUUGGAGUCCUAGGGGCAAAACGAUAAUUGUAAGAGUUUACGGGGGGCAAAGUUGGAAUUUUGGAAUUUUAGACCACCUAACACUUGUCAUGCCCAUGGAUUUCAGCCAUUAACACUUUACAUUGUGGAUAAUUGAAACAUUUUAUGUAGUGGAGAGAGAUUGCUUAAUGGAUAAGUAUUACACUGGAUAUUUUAGAGAGAUUGUUCAACUAUUUUAUCUGUCUCCAUUUACCCGGCUUUAGAUAUUUUAGAUGGUAUUUGUUUUCUCAUUGGGAUUAUAUAAUCUCACCACCCUCAUUUUCACCCAUUUCAGGCUCAGAAUAGAUUGUAGAUAAUUGAUAUCAUCGAGGACUACAGUUGGACUUGCCACAUCCAAAAAUUGUAAGUUCAUUUCUUUUGAUACUUUUAGUCAUUCGUGGACCCACGUGUCACUGUAAAUUAAAUUUUAUACUUUGGUUAUCUUUAUUACAGUAUGUAUGAAUUUAUUUUUCUUUUACGCUAUAAAAAUUAUUUAC